UCUGUUUGUGUACUGCUUUUUGUCGUUUCCGUUUCUUCUGUUUGUUUAGAUUAUGGCUUAGUAAACACGAUGUUGUCCUGUAGUGCAUGCAUUAGCUUUACGUGCAAGUAUGUUGGCAAGCACUUAUGUAAACGUCUGCAGACGAGGCCCGCUCAUUCCCGCACAGACGUUGCAGAACUACGUAAAAAGUUCCAUCAGGGCUGCUCAACUCUGUUCCUGUGGAUCUGCUGUCCUGUUGGUUUUCUCUCCAACUCUAAUAUUGCACACCUGAUACUAAUCAUUAGGGACGAAAAACGAAAUCAGGUUGGUCACAAAUGUGGUUCAAGAAAAAAAAAAAAUACUGCUAGACGGUUGAUCUCCAGGAACAGGUUUGGCCAGCCCAGCUUAGAUCACUCACUGUGAUACAAAAUUAGAGCGGGUGUGCUUUCUUUCACCGUGCGGAAACGUCUUAUGAUGAAGGCAAGCGCAAGAGGAAGAAGCAGAAGGGAAGAUGUCCAAAAUAUGGGAAACAAUGUUAUGUACUGGAUCAGAAGGGAGUCUUAACAGGAUCAGACAGCCAGGGGAUUCAAUUCUUUCAAACAUGAGGUGAAUUUUGCAAUAUAUGGAAAAUUACCUGCUAGACCAUAGAAGAACUCUAGAGUGGACAACUAAAGAAUGCUCGCCAUAAUGAAGAAAAGAGUAUCUGUCCAAUAGAUCAGAAACCCUCUAAGAGGUAAGCGUGGAUGUGUCUUCACCUGGUAAACUAAAGAGGCUGAAGUGUGGACUGCAAGUUGACAUCAAAAACAGGGUGGCCGGGAAAAAUAACAAAAGGAGCCUGCAGAAUUCUGGAAAAAGCAGGGUAAUGACCCAGAAGAUACUGCUAAACUAAGGGCUAAAAAGUGAUUUGUUAUUGACUGGCCAAGUUCAUCACGAGACGGGAUCCAACUGAUCAAGGGUUUCACUUGCUGAAGACAAGACAUCCGGAACAAACGGAGACUGCAGAUGCGCUGCUGGGCUUUUAGCAAUUACCAGGGCAAUUACCCAGCAUGCUGCAGUCCCCGUUUGCAUGUGCAUCACAUGUAAAGGAUUUGUAAUCAAACACUUAAUAUGACCACUUAUGUUAUUUCAAAUAGUUAAUUUCAGCAAUUACCUUUGGUCUGCUAAAAUAGGGUGUGUGUCUAUAAAGGGCUGUACAUUUCUACACGGUUCAUGGUUCUUCCCUCAAACAGAGCCAGAACAGCCAAACCUGUGACUGUACCAAUACUUAUGGACUGCGCUUUGUUGUAGGGAGACAGUCAUAUUCUGUUAUAAGAUGGAAAAUCCAAAUAUGAGUUCCCAAUCGAGCGAGGAGUACUGUAACAAGAAGUGUGUUCCAGUCUCCUUUCCCUCCCUACUGGAGCUGAACCGUGACAGCCUGUCCAAUCAGGACGUGUUCAUCCAUCCUGACUGAGGCACAGCCUAAAAGAAACGUGUGUUACAUUCCAACGCUGUAGAUCUGUGAUGUUUAUCACUAUCUGAGGCCAGCAUGGUCUUGCACUUACAUUCUUCAAGGAGUCUACAGUAUCUGGUUGCAUAUCUGCCACUGAGGUCUUUUUGCCCGUAAAGCCGUCAGGCACACGUAGUUUCACGUAGCGAAUAUUAGGCACAGAUUCGAGAAAUGAAUUUCCUUACAUCAUCCAGAAAAUAACCUUUUUAAUCUGAUCUUCACCUUGCACACUGUGGUUGCUUUUGAGGCCUUGUGAGAGAGAAGUCCAUAAAAUCUUUGAGAGCUACUUGACAUUUCCAUGCCUUUUAGAUGUUAGACUCCCUGAAAAUCUAAUCAAUACAUGUUGCUGCCUGAAUGAUUCAUUUUCAUAACUGGUUGACAUUCCUAUAUUAUACUAAUAAUAUUGUACAUAAAAUAUGCCACUUAUAGUUAACUCUGGAAACCAUAAAAAAUCCAACAUGCAGUAAUAUCAGUCUGACAGUAGAAGGCACUAAUCCCACACAAACCUAACCAGGUGUACUAUUUGAGUAUUCAACAUGCUAUCAUGUUGAAAGCCUAGUUAUAUUGUCCAAGGACUUACAGAUUACGUUUUUUAUUUAUUAGUUGUCUAUUGAACCACAAAUCUAUGCAUUGCUCUUGUCUUGUUCAUACUCAUUGAUUGUUGUUAUUGGAAGGUGCUUUUUUUUUAUAGAAAACGUCAUAUUUGCGAUCUGAGUGAUUCCUUGGUCAUAAUUGAUUAAAUAGACAUUUGGAAAUGAUCCACUGUGACAUUCAAUCUCCUCCAAAACUCUACUAACUACUGAAAAGGCCACUGAUUGUUUAUUAUUCAUUCUAAAGUAGACUCAGUGGGUGUAGGAGAACCAAACAGUCCCCUGUGUCAUUCUAAAGGAAGUUAUUUUAGUGAAUCCACCUGUGAACUAUCUAUAGAUGCUAGUUGUCAUCCUUUCAUCCCAGUCACUAACUAUGCUUGCCCCUCAAGGUCUGAACAUGCGUCAUACUGUAGCUUCAGAGGAUCUGUAUUUCCUAUGUUAAGAUCCUCCUACUCUUGGAUAUACUGUGUGUGUGUGUGUUUGCCUACGCCAUCUCCCAGACCUGCACAUUGUGUCGGUCACCAUAGGAAAAAAAAAAAAUCUGAAUCUCCUUAGGUUGGAGGCAAGGGAAGGCCUUGGUCGUCAUGGUAACUGCAAUGCUUCAUAGAAAACAUGUCAUUGAGGGAGUGGGAGAGAUCAAGGGGGACAGUGAGAGGAAGAGGGAGCACUGAGAGGGUGCUAAGGAGUGUUGAACGAAUGGCCACCAAGAGGUCAAUUACCUGCUUACCAGUUGUUGUGUUUAUCUCUGCACCUCCAUUGAUGAGAUGGAAGUAUUUCCUGCUCUGCCUGUUGAAAGUAGCCUCCCUACUGACUCUAAUCUGGUCUAAGCCAGCAUCCUUCACUGUUUGAUCCCAUCUAUAGCUAACAUGGCCUGACAACAUCAUCAUGCUGUUGAAUUGUUGUCAUAUAACUAAAUGAAAUGUCAUUAGAAAAGUAAAGGAACUGAAGCCAAGCCAAGUCAGUAGGGCUGUGUAAUUCAGUUUCUUGGCACUUUACUGAAGAGCGCAUUGUGGGACUACCCUGUCCACCAGUAUAACACAUGCAAGUCCAUGAAAUAUCGUGAAAGCUGACACCCAUUCUCUGUAAACUACUGUAUUUUACAAUACAUCAGACCAGAAAUGUUAGUCAUCUGAGUACAUUAAAGAUAAUUCCCUACAGCACUCAAAGGCAUAAGGUUUAAUAUUCAUGAGAGUGGGCAGAAGAGCUGCAGGUUCUGUUCUUUAACUAUCAAUUCACAUAGUUUCCUUAUUUUUUAAGGGAACAUUAUCCCUAGACCUCUAACAUAAUUUCCUCCUUUUUAUUGAAGGAAUAUUAUCCCUGGACCCUAGUUAUGUCAUUUCCUCCCUGGUUUUUAUGGAACAUUAUCCCUAGACCAUAGGGAUAUUGACAUCUUCCUGUUUUGGAGGGAACAUUAUCCACAGAACAUAAUGAUGUCAUUUCCUACCUGUUUUUGACGUAACAUUAUUCCUUAACCAUAGUGAUGUGAUUUCCUCCCUGUUUUUGACGUAACAUUAUCCCUUAACCAUAGUGAUGUGAUUUCCUCCCUGUUUUUGACGUAACAUUAUCCCUGUUUUUAGAGAUGUUACUUCCGCCCUAAAGGUAUAUUUCUACUGUUGUCUUUCAUGUUGUUUUAGUUUCCCCACUUCCAUAAUGGAUUUUAAUUUUGUUAGGAUGGUCUGGAGAAUGUGGAAAUUAG